UGAAAAGCCCGCACGCCGUAAGCCCAAGGUUUCCUGUUCAACGUUCAUCGGAGCAGGGUGAGUCGGCCCCUAAGGCGAGGCAGAGAUGCGUAGCUGAUGGGAAGCAGGUUAAUAUUCCUGCACCGUCGUUAGAUGCGAUGGGGGGACGGAUCGCGGAAGGUUGUCCGACUGUUGGAAUAGUCGGUUUUUGCAUCGAAGAAGGCUGUUAGGCAAAUCCGGCAGCGUAAUUCAAGGGUGUGAGACGAGCGAACUUGUUCGCGAAGCAAUCGGAAGUGGUUCCAAGAAAAGCCUCUAAGCUUCAGUCUAACGAGACCGUACCGCAAACCGACACAGGUGGGCGAGAUGAGUAUUCUAAGGCGCUUGAGAGAACUCGGGAGAAGGAACUCGGCAAAUUGGUACCGUAACUUCGGGAUAAGGUACGCCCAAGUAGUUUGACUGGCCUGCGCCAGAAGGACAAAAGGGUUGCAAUAAAAUGGUGGCUGCGACUGUUUAAUAAAAACACAGCACUCUGCAAACACGAAAGUGGACGUAUAGGGUGUGACGCCUGCCCGGUGCUGGAAGAUUAAAUGAUGGGGUGCAAGCUCUUGAUUGAAGUCCCAGUAAACGGCGGCCGUAACUAUAACGGUCCUAAGGUAGCGAAAUUCCUUGUCGGGUAAGUUCCGACCUGCACGAAUGGCGUAACGAUGGCCACACUGUCUCCUCCCGAGACUCAGCGAAGUUGAAAUGUUUGUGAUGAUGCAAUCUACCCGCGGCUAGACGGAAAGACCCCAUGAACCUUUACUGUAGCUUUGCAUUGGACUUUGAACCAAUCUGUGUAGGAUAGGUGGGAGGCUUUGAAGUAGGGACGCUAGUCUCUAUGGAGCCAACCUUGAAAUACCACCCUGGUUUGUUUGAGGUUCUAACCUUGGUCCGUUAUCCGGAUCGGGGACAGUGCAUGGUAGGCAGUUUGACUGGGGCGGUCUCCUCCCAAAGUGUAACGGAGGAGUUCGAAGGUACGCUAGGUACGGUCGGACAUCGUGCUAAUAGUGCAAUGGCAUAAGCGUGCUUAACUGCGAGACUGACAAGUCGAGCAGGUACGAAAGUAGGACAUAGUGAUCCGGUGGUUCUGUAUGGAAGGGCCAUCGCUCAACGGAU
rnacentral:rRNA from 1 species